rnacentral:rRNA from 1 species
AGAGUUUGAUCAUGGCUCAGGAUGAACGCUAGCUUACAGGCUUAACACAUGCAAGUCGAGGGGAAACGACAUCGAAAGCUUGCUUUUGAUGGGCGUCGACCGGCGCACGGGUGAGUAACGCGUAUCCAACCUGCCCACCACUUGGGGAUAACCUUGCGAAAGUAAGACUAAUACCCGAUGAUAUCUCUAGAAGACAUCUGAAAGGGAUUAAAGAUUUAUCGGUGAUGGAUGGGGAUGCGUCUGAUUAGCUUGUUGGCGGGGUAACGGCCCACCAAGGCAACGAUCAGUAGGGGUUCUGAGAGGAAGGUCCCCCACAUUGGAACUGAGACACGGUCCAAACUCCUACGGGAGGCAGCAGUGAGGAAUAUUGGUCAAUGGGCGAGAGCCUGAACCAGCCAAGUAGCGUGCAGGACGACGGCCCUAUGGGUUGUAAACUGCUUUUAUAAGGGAAUAAAGUGAGUCUCGUGAGACUUUUUGCAUGUACCUUAUGAAUAAGGACCGGCUAAUUCCGUGCCAGCAGCCGCGGUAAUACGGAAGGUCCGGGCGUUAUCCGGAUUUAUUGGGUUUAAAGGGAGCGUAGGCCGGAGAUUAAGCGUGUUGUGAAAUGUAGACGCUCAACGUCUGCACUGCAGCGCGAACUGGUUUCCUUGAGCACGCACAAAGUGGGCGGAAUUCGUGGUGUAGCGGUGAAAUGCUUAGAUAUCACGAAGAACUCCGAUUGCGAAGGCAGCUCACUGGAGCGCAACUGACGCUGAAGCUCGAAAGUGCGGGUAUCGAACAGGAUUAGAUACCCUGGUAGUCCGCACGGUAAACGAUGGAUGCCCGCUGUUGGUCUGAAUAGGUCAGCGGCC